rnacentral:rRNA from 1 species
UACGUAGGGUGCGAGCGUUAAUCGGAAUUACCGGGCGUAAAGCGUGCGCAGGCGGUUUUGUAAGCCAGAUGUGAAAGCCCCGGGCUUAACCUGGGAAUGGCAUUUGGGACUGCAAGGCUUGAGUGCGGCAGAGGAGACUGGAAUUCCUGGUGUAGCAGUGAAAUGCGUAGAUAUCAGGAGGAAUACCGAUGGCGAAGGCAGGUCUCUGGGCUGACACUGACGCUCAUGCACGAAAGCGUGGGGAGCAAACAGG